rnacentral:rRNA from 1 species
UACGGGGGGGUAAGCGUUGUUCGGAAUUACUGGGCGUAAAGGGCUCGUAGGCGGCCAACUAAGUCAGACGUGAAAUCCCCAGGCUCAACCUGGGAACUGCGUCUGAUACUGGAUGGCUUGAAUUCGGGAGAGGGAUGCAGAAUUCCAGGUGUAGCGGUGAAAUGCGUAGAUAUCUGGAGGAAUACCGGUGGCGAAGGCGGCAUCCUGGACCGACAUUUACGCUGAGGAGCGAAAAGCUAGGGGAGCAAACGGG